GACCCCAGGUCAGGCGGGACUACCCGCUGAGUUUAAGCAUAUCAAUAAGCGGAGGGAAAGAAACUUACAAGGAUUCCCCUAGUAACGGCGA
rnacentral:rRNA from 1 species